AUUGAACGCUGGCGGCAGGCCUAACACAUGCGAGUCGAGCGGAUGAAGGGAGCUUGCUCCUGGAUUCAGCGGCGGACGGGUGAGUAAUGCCUAGGAAUCUGCCUGGUAGUGGGGGAUAACGUCCGGAAACGGGCGCUAAUACCGCAUACGUCCUGAGGGAGAAAGUGGGGGAUCUUCGGACCUCACGCUAUCAGAUGAGCCUAGGUCGGAUUAGCUAGUUGGUGGGGUAAAGGCCUACCAAGGCGACGAUCCGUAACUGGUCUGAGAGGAUGAUCAGUCACACUGGAACUGAGACACGGUCCAGACUCCUACGGGAGGCAGCAGUGGGGAAUAUUGGACAAUGGGCGAAAGCCUGAUCCAGCCAUGCCGCGUGUGUGAAGAAGGUCUUCGGAUUGUAAAGCACUUUAAGUUGGGAGGAAGGGCGGUAAGUUAAUACCUUGCUGUUUUGACGUUACCAACAGAAUAAGCACCGGCUAACUUCGUG
rnacentral:rRNA from 1 species